UGCUGAGCUCACAGUUCUGUAACAAGUGGUGUCACUUCCAGCUCUGAUAAUGAGACUGUGGUUUUGUCUAAGUUUAUUCAUCGUCCUGUGCCUGGAGCAUUUUCCAGGAACCCUGGCAGAUGAAAGAAAUGUUCCAGAGAGUGAAGAAAAAACUGAGCAGUUCCUGCGGGAUUUGUCUGAGAUCAGCCGCCUACAAAGAGUUCCAACGGGGUUCACCCCUUUCCGAGGAAAAUUCCAUAGCCAGUCCCUGCGGGGUUUGUCUGAGAUCAGCCGCCUACAAAGAAUUCCACCGAUAUGGGUUGGGAAGUAGCGUCCCCUGGUAUAAAUAAGCAUUGUUAUGUCACAUGGUGUCACCUCUGUAAUACCAACUCUGACUGACAUGAUUUAUUAAACAGCAGAUUUGUGCUCUCA